GAGGCCCCAGUACCAAGGUGGCAGGGGAUUGAAGCGAUCUUUGAAGACUAUCAGGAAUACAUUGAAGAGCAAGGUGUGGAGCGCCAGGUGCUGCAGAGCCAGUGUCGGAGACUGGAGAACCAGCACUACAACCUGAGCCUGACAGCAGAGCAGCUCUCACACAGCAUGGGGGAGUUGAUGUCUCAGAGACAGAAGCUGGCGGUGGAGAGGGAGAAGUUACAGA